AAAAAACAAGAUUUUAGUUUGUGGCUGACUUUCUCAAAGGAAACAACUCCAGUAAAAUUUAAGCGAAUUAAAAUAACAAUCAACAAAAGUCAUGGAUCGAGUUAUUUUUGAAGAUUUUGAUAAAAUAUCGGCUCAAGAGAAAAUGACAAAUCAGUUCAACCUAAAGUUGCUAAGAUAUUUUUAUGAAAUUAUUAGCAAAAAAUAUGCUAUGGAUCGAUAUGUAUUUAACGAUUUCGAAAAAUUAUCGAAAGACGAGCAAAAGGAGAGGUUGAGCCGAGCCAAAGUGGAGCUAAAGAGAUUUUAUAAUAUAAUUCAGGAUGAUUUUGAAGGAAAAAGCAAUUCGGAUCAGGAACUAGUGGACAUGAUGAGCGAUAUGGGAUUGACCCAAGUUUCAGGAUCAGUGCUCCUGACGGAAAUUAUUAACUCAAUAUAAAACAUAAUCUUGCCAAGUAUUUGAUUGCCUAAAUAGUAAAUACAUUUUAUUACAUAAACAGCUAGAGAUUUCGUGAAUAUCCUGAAUACCAGAAAGCAUCCUUAUAUUCAUCCGAAAAUAUCAUUAAA